GACGAACGCUGGCGGCGUGCUUAACACAUGCAAGUCGAACGGAAAGGCCCUGCUUGCAGGGUACUCGAGUGGCGAACGGGUGAGUAACACGUGGGUGAUCUGCCCUGCACUUCGGGAUAAGCCUGGGAAACUGGGUCUAAUACCGGAUAGGAGCCAUCUUUAGUGUGAUGGUUGGAAAGUUUUUUCGGUGUAGGAUGAGCUCGCGGCCUAUCAGCUUGUUGGUGGGGUAAUGGCCUACCAAGGCGGCGACGGGUAGCCGGCCUGAGAGGGUGGACGGCCACAUUGGGACUGAGAUACGGCCCAGACUCCUACGGGAGGCAGCAGUGGGGAAUAUUGCACAAUGGGCGCAAGCCUGAUGCAGCGACGCCGCGUGGGGGAUGACGGCCUUCGGGUUGUAAACUCCUUUCGCUAGGGACGAAGCUUUUUGUGACGGUACCUAGAUAAGAAGCACCGGCUAACUACGUG
rnacentral:rRNA from 1 species